ACUCCGAUGCAAAUAUAAAAAUGCAGGAAUUCUGAUCCACUCCUUUAUUUUGUUUAAUAAAGGAGUGAUGUGCCCAUUUUUUUUUUUUAAUAAAAGACCCCUUUUUUAGUUUUUGUUUAGUAUGACUUGCUAUGGAAGAUUCCUUCUUCCUUCACUUCAUGCUCCGCCUUUGCACAGAGAAAAAAAAUGGAGGCCUUCGCAAGACCUUACCAGGCAAUCACUCUCACGGUGAAGAAUUCUGUCAUGAUCAGCAGUGUGCGAUCUUCGCGGGGAAGCAACUCGAGGGGCUGAUAGAUGAGAGGAAAAAAUUAGAGGUGGCGCGUGAAGUUUCCAUUCACGCCUUUGCUGGGCACGUGAAGACUUUCUGGUGAAGAUGCCGUGAAGAUGUCGUGCACGCCUUUGCGAUGUGGUUUGCUAUCCCAACUUCGUCUUGUCGUCACCGACCCGAUGGGAAUCUUGAAAUCGCCACACAAAUAUUUUACACAUCGUAUGAAAAAGACUCGACUCCAGCUGUUGUAAUGUUCACAUAAUGAGAUGCCGAAGUUGGUUGAACUUUUUCAAAAAUGGUAGAGAAAGAUGUCACUUGAUAACUCCACCAUCUGCAUAUUAGCGGAAUUUCUCUUGGGGGAUAAAAACUGUCAUGAAUGUCUGAACUUGCUUCCAACAUUGCGGUACACAGAAUGAAGUUACUGAAUAAAGUUUCUUGUGAAUAACCUAAUUUAGAAGAACUAUUGAUAGAGCUAGACUGAAUUUAUGACUGAAAGCUUGGAAACUUGGACUUCUAUUUCCAAUCUCAGUUUUGGUUGUACACGAAGCGGAAACCUCCAUGAAGGUAUAUUUACACAAUAAUCUGUAUCGUCGUUGACAACUCUCCUGGAACAAGAACUUUCCAUGGAACAUACCGUGGAAAGAAGUUUUCAUGGGUGUAUGGAUUCAGCCUCUGUUGGCUGUAGGCUUUGAUUCAUCCCUGUUUAGGUUGAUUCACCCCUGUUUAAGAAUCUUUAUGGCUUAUCCUUAAGUUCUGUGAACUGUGAGAUGAUGGUGAUAGAAAAAUUAUUUAGUAGGGCUCCCAGCUCCUAUGCCAAUUGCCAAUGUGAGAAAUGAAGACAAAUUUCUAUGUAAGGCUCUUGCAGGUGAGAUAAAUAAACCUUAGCAGAGUAGGAUCAUCCCAGAUUUUGUUGAGUUGUCUUGUACUCCUGUUUGUAUAUUCUUAAAUCUAUCAAUGAAUUUUUUGUUUCUAUUAAAUUAAAAAAAAAAAACCUUGGCAGGGUAUUAGUUUAUUAAAGAAUGAAUUUCCUAUUUGUAUAUUCUAAUUGUUCAAGUAUAGUUUUAUCUAAUUCGAAUUGAAUUUAGUUCAUUAAAG